rnacentral:rRNA from 1 species
GACGAACGCUGGCGGCGUGCCUAAUACAUGCAAGUAGAACGCUGAAGGAGGAGCUUGCUUCUCUGGAUGAGUUGCGAACGGGUGAGUAACGCGUAGGUAACCUGCCUGGUAGCGGGGGAUAACUAUUGGAAACGAUAGCUAAUACCGCAUAAUAGUAGAUGUUGCAUGACAUUUACUUAAAAGGUGCAAUUGCAUCACUACCAGAUGGACCUGCGUUGUAUUAGCUAGUUGGUGGGGUAACGGCUCACCAAGGCGACGAUACAUAGCCGACCUGAGAGGGUGGUCGGCCACACUGGGACGGAGACACGGCCCAGACUCCUACGGGAGGCAGCAGUAGGGAAUCUUCGGCAAUGGACGAAAGACUGAGCGAGCAACGCCGCGUGAGGGAAGAAGGUUUUCGGAUCGUAAAGCUCUGUUGUAAGAGAAGAACGAGUGUGAGAGUGGAAAGUUCACACUGUGACGGUAUCUUACCAGAAAGGGACGGCUAACUACGUG